rnacentral:rRNA from 1 species
UACGUAGGUGGCAAGCGUUGUCCGGAAUUAUUGGGCGUAAAGCGCGCGCAGGUGGUUCUUUAAGUCUGAUGUGAAAGCCCACGGCUCAACCGUGGAGGGUCAUUGGAAACUGGGGAACUUGAGUACAGAAGAGGAAAGUGGAAUUCCACGUGUAGCGGUGAAAUGCGUAGAGAUGUGGAGGAACACCAGUGGCGAAGGCGACUUUCUGGUCUGUAACUGACACUGAGGCGCGAAAGCGUGGGGAGCGAACAGG